AGAUGCACCUGCAACAUACAUAAAUUCCCAGAUUAGGGGUCAAAUCAGCAACACUGGACCCAAGCCGCUUCUGCGACCCACGCCGCUUCUGCGACCCACGCCACAGCUUGCCGUUGCAACAAGGCUGGACCCUCAACCCACUGAUCGAGGUCAGGGAUCAAACCCAUUCCUCAAAGAGACAACUUUGGGUCCCUAACCCGCUGAGCCACAAGGAGAACUCCCUUUUUCAUCUGUUUAAUGGAAAAGCAAAAGAGAGUUUAGAAGACUGGCCACUUUCGGAGAUUCGAUUUCCCCCUUUGGGUCCACAGACACGGUCGAAGCUGCGUCUCUACACGUGGUAACCGUGCAGAAGCACCUGGGAUACCUCACACAUGGGUAGCAUUUGGUAAGUAUUUCAAAAUAUUUUCAAAAUGGUCCUGCAUAUGAAAACUGGAGUCUCUCUUUUUCCUCUUUUCUUUCGGAUUCUAGUUGAAAUGGCCCUGUUCAGUUACCAGACUUUUAUGUUAAGUGUGGCAAGUGGCCUUGUUGAACUGUAAAAAAUGUUCUCAGUAGGAAGCGUCUGCUCCAAGCUCCACACUUUCCAUCUGUGGAUGUUUGUGUUUGUGAGGUGUGAAUGCCUAGAUACAGAGAUGAUAGAGGCCACAGAAACACACAGGUAGGUAGCUGUGCAAAGCAGAAGGCCCUGGGGGAGGAUGCUGAGAAACAGACAAGAGGGACUUUUCUUUGCUGAGACAACCUUACCUCUGUUGUUAGCAGUGCACACUAUAUGAGAAGAAAUGACAGAUAAGUAUGGCUGAAGUCAAGGACCCUGCAUUUUCAAUAGGAAUUAAUUGCAAGUCAAAGGUUUUAUGAGCAAGAGGAAAAAAAAUUACUCCCUGACCCUAAAUUUCUAUAAAGGAUUCAACCUUUAGAAGACUUUUCUUAAAUUUCCAGCUGAUUAGAAGGUCUUAUUAUAGCUCUUAUUAAUUAUACCUGCUAUUAUAUACUCAUUCUAAAGUGAUGGACUAAGUUUAGGAUGCGCUUAGAAAUGCUCAGGGGUGUUUUUACAAGGAUUUCUGGGGCUUUAAACUUAAUUUUCUUAUUUAUCAUAAAGGUUUUUAAGAUAACCGCGUUUUGGAUUUCUAUCACAACAUAUUAGGAUAAACAUAUUCUUUUAUAAGUUUAAGAUAUUUUAGAGGGACGCUUUCAAAACAAAAUGUGAGAUGAAGUGCGAUUAGUAAGAAGGUGGUCAGCCAUCAAUAUGUAAAAUAAAGUAAUGAUAUCCUGAAUCAUUUCUUAAAAAAACAAAAAGAUGUUCGAUUGGGAAUAUGGCUGAAAUAUCUUGGCAUUCAAACAUAAACAAAAAUUUUCGAUUCAAAGGUAAAACACAGACCAUUUAAAAUCAAAGUAGAUGGAGUCCAGAUUCCCUGUUUAUUUUGUUUUCUUUGGUUCAACUCUUCUUUUUGAGCCUUCAGUCCUGAUGGAGGCAAAUUACUAAAACACAGGUUGUAUGCAGUACAGUCUCACUGCCACCAAAAGGCAGGGUGCUGGCCUCUGCAGCACAUGCACUCAGGGACCAGAUCCUCUCUAAAGGCACCAGGCUGUUGCUAAGUAAGGCAGGAAGGGCAAGGAGAAAACAGAGUCUGCAAAUAACCAGAGUGGAGGGUAAACUAACUCAGUGUUUACUGAGCACCUACUAGGCUAGGCACCAUUAGGGGCUAGGAAUCUAACAUGAAGGAAGGCAUACUUUCUGUCUGUGGGAAGCUCCUGUCCUUUUUUGGUUGUUUGCUUUUGUUUUCUUUUUUAGGGCCACACCCACGGUCUAUAGAAAUUCCCAGGCGAGGGGUCAAAUCGGUGCUGAAGCCACUGGUCUACACCACAGCCACAGCCAUGCCAGAACCGAGUCACAGCUGUGACUGAUACCACAGCUCACGGCCUGGCAACGCUGGAUCCUCCACCCACUGAGCGAGGCCAGGGAUCGAAUCCCCAUCCUCAUGGAUCCCAGCUGGAUUCGUUUCUGCUGCACCAUGAGAGCUCUGACUUUUGGGAAAGGUCUUAAACACUGUACAAAGGCUCCCAUAUCCCUCUGACCCAGCUUGCCCUAAUGUUAGUAUCUCGUAUAAUCGUCACACCUGUUAUCCAAACUAAAACACUGACCUUGGUACAGUACUAUUAAUUAACCGACACACUUGAUGUGUAUUUCACCAGCGUUUCCACUGAUGUUCCUCCUCUGGGCCAGGACCCGCGGCGGCAGCGGCGGGAGCCCAUGUGACAUUUACUUAUUAUCGUGUCUCUUUAGGCGUCUCUGUUCUGUGACAGUUCCUCACCCUCCCCUUGUCUUUCACGACCUUGACAGUUUUGUUAGUUGACUUCUGAACAGCCACAACGGAAUGUGUACAUUCUUUGCGGGAACUAUGUUUUUGCCUGGAGGUGAGAAGGCUUCAUAGAGAGACGACAUGGGAACUGGGUCCAAAAAAAUAAAGUGGGACUUUGCCAAUUUAUUAUUUAUAUCUCAUCUGUUCAAUUCAGCCUAUAUUUAUAGCCACGGGAAGACGGUUAGGCAUUAUGAAUAUAGCCUUGAACAAGACAGAAAUGAUCUCUGCUCUUAAGCGUUUUGAGGUAUGAAACAAAUCAGGACAAGUGUGUGGAGAAUUACAAAGAGGGGAUGCGUAACAUUCGUAACAUUCGGCGAAGGGAUUUUAUUUCAUCGAAGGGGCAGGGGAGAUUCCCUGGAGGAAAUGGCACGGAGUGAGCUGAGAUCUAUCCAGGGGCUCAUCAGCUGAGGGAGGACAAGAGUGUUCCAGAAAGGAGGAACAGCAUUUGCAAAUGCCUUGAGUCAGGAGCUCCUGUCAUUUUCCAGUAACUUCAAAUGCUACAUCAUUGACCCAUAUAAUGGGAGGCAGGGGUGUGAAGAAGAGGGUGGGGAGAGAUUGCGAAGAGUAACUGCUGGUUGCAUAGAAGAUGAGAAACAAAUAAGGACAAAAGAAAUAAGAGGAAGCAUAAGUAGAAAGGCAAAGUAGAACCAAAGUCCUACUGCAAAUGCACAAGUUCCAUUCCUUUUGUUUGUUUGUUUUCUGAGUUAUUUGGGAAGGGGGUGGCUGGAACAAAGAGAAGGGACAAAGGCCAAGCCAAUGGGAGACUAGCAGAUACAAAGGAUUAAGAGACACCGGGGGGGGGGUCAAGAACACUGUUUGACUACCUUUCAAGACCACGAAGACAAGGGCAUCAGCAACAUUAGAGCACUAAAAGUAAGAAAAACACUUUCUUUGAAAAAUAAACAGAUUUAUUAGUUUCCCCCAAAGGCAUCGACAUUAUGAAAAUUUUAAGAACUCUGUUAAACUUCCUUCAACUUAUUUUCAUAGCUCAGCUGUUUUAUUUUUGAAUUGCAUCACACAGGAAAUGUAAUUUCAGGGUUUAUGUUCUAAAUGUCCUGAUCUGAAACAGAGAUUCUGAUGACACUUAGUAUCAAAACCUCUAAGAUAAAAGAGUGCAGAAUACAGCUGGCCAGGAGGGCAGCUGAAGACUGAUGCAUAGGCUACUGAGUGGCAGACGAGACGCCAGCGAGGAUGAGAAGCAGGUCUGGCCAGAGAAGAGGGAAAGGUCCAUGAACACUCAGUCACCGGGAGUUCCCGUUGCAGCUCAGCAGCUUAAGAACCUGACUAGUAUCCAUGAGGAUGCAGGUUUGAUCCUUGGCCUCGCUCCGUGGGUUAAAGAUCCGGCGUUGCCGUGAUGAGCUGUGGUAUAGGUCACAGAUGCGCCUCGGAUCCCGAGUUGCUGUGGCUGUGGUAUACCUGGCAGCUGCAGCUCUGAUUCAGCCCCUAGCCUGGGAACCUCCACAUGCUGCAGGUGUGGCCCUUAAAAAAAAAAAAAUCUGUGUUAUCUCCUUCCUUCUGUCUAUAUAUACAACCACUCCUGUCUCUGUUUGACUACUUUGCCUCAUGCUACAUUAUGAUGCAUUCAUUAGCGUCCGGUACUUCACUCACCUCCACCUCAAAAGGCCUCUCUCACACCAGCCACCACACCUUCCCAGUGUCCUCUGUGAAGCUGGAGAGGAGGUCACCUGCUGGGGGACGGGGAGGAUGACGUGAGCACACGGUUGGCUGUGAAUACUAAAUCCAGAGCAGUUCAGACAAAUUAGGUUAUUCACCUGCUUGGUACUGAUAAGGAUUUUGAAAACUGUUUCAUAUGCAAAACUAGUUUCAACCUAAAACCUGUUUACCCAGCAUCUCAACGGGGACAUUUCAUCAGCAGCUCACGUGGUUAAUUUAAGGUUUCUUAUCAUCCCCAACCUUGCUGCCAGCCGUCAGUUCUGUCUCCACACUGUACUUUUUCACUCCUUUCCCACUUAAACCCAAUCAGGGUAUGCUGAGUGCCUGCUGAAUGCACUCGUUUGGUCAUGCGAGUAAUUACAUGUGAAAGCUGCUAAAACGGAGGUGGCUACUGAGUGCGUGGGAACAAGGUUUACAAGGUUUUUUCAAGGUUUACAAAGCCACCUUUUGGCCACCCCUGGCUUCUCUUUAUCCCCUCCUCUACCUUCUCUUUCUCUUUACUUUAGACCUAACAUAGAUACAAAAUACCACUUCUGUUCUAAUAUGUAUAAAUACCAUUUCUAGUCAGCUGACCAAACACAAGAAAACAGUUCCACGUAAUUUCCAUAAUAGCAUCAAAUCUCCUGAAAACGGGAUCAAAGAUGCCAUCAAUGGAUAGCAUCCAAAAUAUCUCACCCCCUCCACUUCACCAUCGUACCUCAUCUAAGCAAAUCAUGACCUCUGGUCAGUGGUUUUCAUCAAAGUCUUCUUUUCAUGGAUUCUCUUAGUUGAAAAGUGCAAUUAUUAGGGGCACUGGGUCAGAAAGUACAUGGAAUUCCAGACAUGGAAGCACCUGAAUUAAGACUCUCCCCUGCGUGGAAGCAAUACCCAGGCCAGGGCUCCAUCUCUCCUCUCUCUCCUUGCCAGUCAUUAGUCUUCUUCCCUCUGUCUUUGUGGCCAGUGUUCUGACAGAUUCAUGACUAGCUUUGAUGCCCAGUCUCACCUGCUCUCUGACUAAAUGCACAAGAGGAAGGAGGGCUGAAGGCCAUUCAGACACCUAUUUCCAUCUUCACAGCUCGGCCCCCCUGUGCCUUUCUUCUUCUGGCUUCUGUAAAAUGUAAUUUCUGGGAGUUCCCGUCGUGGCUCAGUGGUUAAUGAAUCCGACUAGGAACCAUGAGGUUGCGGGUUCGAUCCCUGGCCUCGCUCAGUGGAUUAAGGAUCCAGCAUUGCCGUGAGCCACGGUGUAGGUAGACGAAGCUCAGAUUUGGCGUUGCUGUGGCUCUGGUGUAGGCUGGCAGCUACAGUUCUGAUUCGAUCCCUAGCCUGGGAACCUCCAUAUGCCGCGGGUGCAGCCCUAAAAA
rnacentral:lncRNA from 1 species